rnacentral:lncRNA from 1 species
GAAAACAUAUCUACUUGUUACAUAAUCAUAUGUUGUAUAUCCUACUAAACUUAGGAACCCCAAGGAGCUGAGAAUGGCCACAAACACAAGGUUAAAGGCUUGUCUGUAUAGCUUCAUUUUUCCUGGAGGUCCAACGUACCCCACAAGAGUUGUUCAUCAUGCCGCAUGAGAUGCAUUAGAUUUGCUUUUUCCCGUUGGCUAAUACCCUCGGCAUCUUAUAAGCCUGUUAAUUGGUAUAUCCAUCAUGGUCAUUCCCCCUUCCUAUUCGAGCAUGUGCUUCUCCUCCACUGCAACAUGCAUUGUCAGAUCAAAUUCCAUCAAAGUGCCAAUCAAGAUACAAGAAUUCACACAGAUUUCAGCACCAACUUUUUCAUCAUUUUCUCAUCAACCAAACAGAAAAAUAAAAAAAAAUAAAAAAAUUCGAUUUGGUGUAGUUUCCUAGUGCUAAAGCGUUAAAGCACUCACCGCUGGAGGACCAUACAACGAUGAAUGGAAGAGAUGGAAAAUAUACAGAACCAAAGUCUCCAAAGUAUAUGUCGAAAACAAACCAUGAUGGGCACCAAGAACAUCUUUUCAAACGCAGUAGCAUACUAAUUAAAGCAAGGUGCUAUUAUGAGAGCCCAUCAUGGAUAUGUUUAGGGAAGCUAAAUAACGAGGGACAUACAUCCAAAAAAUCACAAACCACUCAGAUCACCAAAAACAUAUCAUAAGAUUAAAGUAAAACUAUAUGAAAAGAACAGAAGCAGGUGGAGUCACCACUCAACAGAGUACGACUAAUUACAUACCAUUCAAGGUUAUCGGUUAUAACUUAUAAGGCAUAAGUCAGCAUAUACUUUUAAUAGAAGACUUGAAAUACCAGUUUCAUUAGACAACUCAGAGCUUCCCAAAAAGAAUCCGAUUAUACGAAUGAAAUCUGGUAAAUCAUUUAAUUCAUUUGUGAGAAAUUGAACUUCAUUUUCAAUUCAGCUCUGUGUGAAUGACUGCACAUGAAAGCAUAGUGUACAUAGCCCUCCAAACUGUGUGAAGGAAAUAUCGACCCCAAUAUUUUGUACAAGGCACUUUACAAGCUUGACCUGCCACAACAAAAACAAAUAGUCUUACAGAGGAAAAUCAAAAGUUUGUUAACUAGAAUCAAAAUAAUGACUAAUGACAUAGACAAGCACGUAAUAAUUUAAUUAAAGGGAAAUGCAAGUUACACAACAUCAACUCAGCACAAAAACUUUACUAGACAUAGAUGGCAGCGUCAACACUAAGUUGUAACUUAUACCUAUCAUCAAUCUAAUAAAGUUAAGAGGUAAAAGCUAAAAACCUUAGCCCGAAUCAAUUAGACAUCUUUCACCAUAAACUCAGCAGCCAUAUUUUGAUAUUCCCUUUCAAGGACAGUGCAAAUGUCAUUGGCCAGCGCCUCCUCAACAUUCACAACACCGAAAGCAAUCAAAUCAAUAUCUCCAUCAGGCAGAUAGGUCUUUAGAGGUACAGCUAAAUCGUGGCAAGGUAAUUAAAUGAAUACUGUCAUUUAUCAUUUUCGCUAAUGCGAAAGGUCAAUAGAAAUAGAUAAAUAGCAGCAAGGAAAGUUUCAGCUCCAGACAACAAAUUAACCUAAACAAACAGUUUAUAUGCAGAAUUCAAGCUUACCCAAAUAAAUGUUCAUGCCCAAUUCACAAACUAUACAUACAAAUAUAUCAGACAUUGGUUGUUUUGUAGCUCAAUAAGCACAACAAUUUGAAUAAAAAAGUCAGACAAAGAUUUAUACCUCUUUUUUCUGAGAUUUGUGCUUGGAUCCAUGUCAAUAUUAGAUGCAUGCACAUAAAUAUCGAAGUCUAGAAUAAUAUGAAACAAAGAAAAGAGAUGAUACAUAGUAACAACUCCAAACUGACACAAUCGAGACGGUGAAUUUCCGAUCGGAGCUGUAGUCAUUCGUCAGAAGAUCUGCAACAGAAGCCAAAAUGCAAGGUUUUAGAUGCUAAUAACGCGCAAUCGAGAGACGAAAAAACAGUAGAAAUAUCGCAGAGACGAAGAGAGAGAGAGAGAGAGAGAGAGAGAGAGAGAGUGAAAAUGAUUGCUUAACCUUGCUUUUUUGCCGAUGGUUAAAAGUCCAGGUCCCUUGCUCAUCUUUAUUGGGAAAUUUUGGGAGAGAGAAUCGGUGAUCUUCUGCGAUUUUGACAGAGAUGAAGACGGCUCAAAAUUAAGUUUGGGGUCGGAUAUGUGGGUUUUGCAUACUGGCAAAGACAGAGAUGGAGCUGCGAUGCGAAAUUAGAAAGAAAAAUGAAAGGUUUUGAAUGCCAAGAAGAAAUGGGGGAGACGGACAAUAGCAGAGAGAUCCUCCAUAAAUGAAGGGAGAUAUUAGACGGACGUAGGCUUUGCCGUUAGGGACAAAAUCGGAAAUUUAAUAUUUGGGCCAUUUUAAUUGGGCUGGUUUAGUAUUGGACUUUGUCCUAACCAUUAAAUAAAGUUAGUACAUGGUUUUUGGUUAACAUUUAAAGUUUUCAUAAAUUUGCGAGACGAUGUUUUGGAAAUAUUUAAUAAUACUUUUUUUAAACUAGAAGAGCGAUGAAAAUUUGUACACCCUCAUAGAGCAAACAUUAAAAAUUUGAUUUUUGGUGAAAAUUGGGCGCGUUUUUAAUUGGGAGCAUGUUUAAAUUAUAAUUACAUUUCGUCAAGAUCCUACUUUAUAAUUCUUAUAGAGUCUAUCUCUCUCUCGAUUCUCUGUGAAGCUUUCACUCUCCUCUCUCUCGAUUCUUAGUCUCUCCCUCUCUUGCUCUCAUCACUCACCAUCUUAGUCUCUCCCUCUUUCUCUCCCCCCUUUCUCUCUCUCCCCCUCUCUCCCUGUCUCUCCCUCUCUCCAUUUCUCCAUCUCUCUCUGUUUAUCUAUCUCUCUCUCUCACUCUCUUCUCCGCACCAGACAUCCGCCGCCACAAU